CCUUCUGUGAGCAAGGACAGCAGUCGUCCUGAAGGGGCAUGGCUGCGGGAGGCCCAGCUGUGGGCCUCCAGGAACUUGCAGUAGAGGAGGGCGAAGGAGACCCCACCCAUCACCAUGACCCAGUCAGUGGCAGAAGGGAGCGCGGAGGGCUGCGGGAGCUCACAGGAGGAGAGAGUUACUUCCAGUUGGAGCAAGGACGGACUCGGGGGGGGAAGAGAGCUCUUGGGCCUCCGGGCUUUCAGCUCAGGGGCCUUGGUAUUCUCACCGGCAGGAGCAUCUGGAACAAAACAGGUGGACGCUGAGAGUCCAACUCCAAACCAGACGAAGAUCUCUGAGCAGGCGGCCAGCAUGCCUCACCCACUCUGGACUGAGCCUCGAGCCCACAGUGGGGCUUCUGCUGUCCUCCCCAAAGAGGACGCAUGAAAUCCCGUGGCAGCCUUCCGGGCGGAGCUGAAAU